GUUACAUAAGUUUGGAAACUCUGCACCCGUGUGAGUAUAUAUAUUACUACUUUUAUUUAUUCCUCCAUAUAUAUACUUUUAGCAAUAAAGCAGCAUGGAUUGAGGGUGCA